rnacentral:rRNA from 1 species
GAUCAUGGCUCAGGAUGAACGCUAGCGGCAGGCCUAACACAUGCAAGUCGAGGGAGAAGCCUUCGGGCUGAAACCGGCGCACGGGUGCGUAACGCGUAUACAAUCUGCCUUUCACAUAGGGAUAGCCCGAAGAAAUUUGGAUUAAUACCUAAUGGUAUAUAGGAGCGGCAUCGUUUUUAUAUUAAAGCUACGGUGGUGAAAGAUGAGUAUGCGUUCUAUUAGCUAGUUGGAGAGGUAACGG